rnacentral:rRNA from 1 species
CAGCAGCCGCGGUAAUGCGAAGGGUGCAAGCGUUAAUCGGAAUUACUGGGCGUAAAGCGUGCGUAGGCGGUGAGUUAAGUCUGCUGUGAAAUCCCCGGGCUCAACCUGGGAAUGGCAGUGGAUACUGGCUCGCUAGAGUGUGUCAGAGGAUGGUGGAAUUCCCGGUGUAGCGGUGAAAUGCGUAGAGAUCGGGAGGAACAUCAGUGGCGAAGGCGGCCAUCUGGGACAACACUGACGCUGAGGCACGAAAGCGUGGGGAGCAAACAGGAUUAGAUACCCGGGUAGUCCCUGUCUCUUAUAC